rnacentral:rRNA from 1 species
AUUGAACGCUGGCGGCAGGCCUAAAACAUGCAAGUCGAACGAGUGGCGUACGGGUGAGCAAUGCCUGGGAAACUGCCUGCUGGAGGGGGAUAACUACUGGAAACGGUAGCUAAUACCGCAUACCAUCGGAUGUGCCCAGCUGGGAUUAGCUAGUAGGUGGGGUAACGGCUCACCUAGGCGACGAUCCCUAGCUGGUCUGAGAGGAUGACCAGCGACACUGGAACUGAGACACGGUCCAGACUCCUACGGGAGGCAGCAGUGGGGAAUAUUGCACAAUGGGCGCAAGCCUAAUGCAGCCAUGCCGCGUGUAUGAGGAAGGCCUUCGGGUUGUAAAGUACUUUCAGCGGGGAGGCGUUACCCGAAGAAGAAGCACCGGCUAACUCCGUGCCAGCAGCCGCGGUAAUUC